rfam:Ornithorhynchus anatinus chromosome X5, whole genome shotgun sequence.
GCCUUGCAGCAACAUACAUACUAAAAUAGGAAUGAUGCAGAGUAAAGGAGCAUGACCCCUGAAUAAGGAUAAUACACAAAUUCAUGAAGUUUUGCUUUUUUUA